rnacentral:lncRNA from 1 species
UAUCCCUCUCUAUACAGACAUCUUUACUUCUUUCCCAUAAACAAUAUGUGAGUUGAAUUGAUUAAAUAUAACAAUGAAGUUAUUUUCGUAUGGACCGGUCACUGAAUAUAUCCACAAACAAGAUGCAAGGUAUAUGAUCUGAACGGAAGACUUGAGAGGAGACGUAGUAUUUACUCCCAUUGAAGAAAGGUCUUAAUUAGAUCUUCUUUGCACUUGAAAUCUAAAGGGAAGCAGACGAGAUGUCCCUCUACCGACUUAAGUCUCUGUCCAUAGGAUCGCUUUUCUGGUGAUAUUCCUAAGUCGAUGGUUGUGUGUCCCAGUUUCUGAAAGUAAGUAUGCUUCCCUUAGAAUGUAUGUGUAUUGACUUCACAAGAUAUAGUACACAUUAGUUGAGAGAUAUGGGGGGUCUCCUCUAGACUAACAGGAAUCUAGGAAAAUAUACAAAGCAAUAUCUAAACUAUACAAAGAUAGUUAUCUUAUCUAAUACCCUCCCGCAGUUGCAGCGUGGAGUCUCUCACGCCAAGACUGGAUGGGAAGCUGAAGAGGGAUGAAGGUAGUCUUUUUGUAAAAAUGUCAGCAUAUUGUAGCGUGGAAGGAAUGUGUAAGACGUGAACCUCUCCAUUCCCUACUUUUGAAUAUCAAUUUUGAUGUGUUUGGUUCUUUGAUGUUGUCAUGUUGUACAGGCCAUCUCAAUGUCACGACAUAGGUCACAAGCCCUUGUUACUGAGCUCAGACAUCUCCUUGUAAGUUGAAUCUAAG